rnacentral:tRNA from 1 species
GGUAGCGUGGCCGAGCGGUCUAAGGCGCUGGAUUUUAGGCUCCAGUCCCCUCCGGGGGCGUGGGUUCGAAUCCCACCGCUGCCA